UCCCAAGUAGCGCGGGCCUCGUGGAAUCCCGCGUGAAUCAGCCCAGACCGUUGGGUAAGCCUGAAUAUUCCUGUCUGACCGAUAGCGAACGAGUACCGUGAGGGAAAGGUGAAAAGUACCCCGGGAGGGGAGUGAAACAGUCUCUGAAACCGUGCGCCCACAAACCGUCGGAGCCUCCUUGUGGGGUGACGGCGUGCCUAUCGAAAAAUGAGUCUGCGAGUCAGUGGCAUGUGGCGAGCAUAACCCGUGUGGGGUAUGCGUAGCGAAGGCGAGUCUUAAAAGGCGUUUGAGUCGCGUGUCCUGGACCCGAAGCGGGAUGAUCUAGCCCUGAGCAGGUUGAAGCGCGGGUAAGACCGCGUGGAGGACCGAACCCACCUGGGUUGAAAACCGGGGGGAUGACCUGGGGCUAGGGGUGAAAGGCCAAUCAAAUUCCGUGAUAGCUGGUUCUCUCCGAAAUGCAUUUAGGUGCAGCGUCGGUCGAUUGCGUCGCGGGGGUAGAGCUACUGGAUGCUUGCGGGCCCGUAUGGGUACCAACAGCAGCCAAACUCCGAAUACCGUGACGUGUAUUCCGGCAGUGAGUCGGCGGGGGAUAAGCUCCGUCGUCGAGAGGGAGACAGCCCAGACCGUCGUCUAAGGUCCCGAAGCGUGUGCUAAGUGGGAAAGGAUGUGGAGUCGCAUAGACAGCCAGGAGGUUGGCUCAGAAGCAGCCAUCCUUGAAAGAGUGCGUAACAGCUCACUGGUCUAGUGGUUCCGCGCCGACAAUGUAGCGGGGCUCAAGCACACCACCGAAGACGCGGCAGCAAUCUUCAUGGUUGCUGGGUAGGAGAGCGUCCUGCGAGGGGCGAAGCGGCCGGGAAACCGGCCGUGGACUUCGUGGGAGUGAGAAUGCAGACAUGAGUAGCGAGAGACGGGUGAGGAUCCCGUCCGCUGGAUGACCAAGGGUUCCGGGGCCACGUUCGUCGUCCCCGGGUGAGUCGGGUCCUAAGGCGAGGCCGACAGGCGUAGUCGAAUGGAUGAACGGGUGGAUAUUCCCGUACC
rnacentral:rRNA from 1 species